rnacentral:rRNA from 1 species
AAUCAACGCUGGCGGCGUGCCUAACACAUGCAAGUCGAACGCGAAAGCCCCGCAAGGGGUGAGUAGAGUGGCAAACGGGUGAGUAACACGUGGGUGACCUGCCCUCGAGCGGGGGAUAACGUCCCGAAAGGGACGCUAAUACCGCAUGACAUCCGACCUUUGAAGAGGUGGAGAUCAAAGCUGGGGAUCGCAAGACCUAGCGCUCGAAGAGGGGCCCGCGUCCGAUUAGCAGUUGGUGAGGUAACGGCUCACCAAGGCAACGAUCGGUAGCCGGCCUGAGAGGGCGGACGGCCACACUGGGACUGAGACACGGCCCAGACUCCUACGGGGG